GUGAAUCAUCAAAUUUUUGAACGCAAAUUGCACUCUCUUCGGUGAGUAUGCCUGUUUGAGGGUCAGCCUAAAAAAAAUCUACAUAGUUGCUGUUACGCGGUAACAUUUGUCGGAAAUUGGGUCAUGUUAAACCUUUGGGUGUAAGCGGCUUAAAAUUUUCUUUACGAUUCCAAGAACGUGUCUAAGAUUUUAUAUUCUUAUACGUUUAAGGUAUUGAUCUUUAUUAGACGCGGUCGUUGUAUCGAACUUGGU
rnacentral:misc_RNA from 1 species